GGACGUCGUUUCCUUGAAUGUUUUUGAAGUUGUUCUGCUGUGUGGUCUGAGUGAGGGAGAGGACAAAGAGUAGAGAAGCAUCUGUGUAUCCCUUUUGGGGCCUGCCAUGGUGGAAUACCUUCGUGACAUACUCGUGGCAUUGCCAAAAUAUUUGGGGGCUUGGUUGGCACACCUGCCGAUCUUGGCCUUGAACCCACUUACAGUGCACGAGGGUACAGUGGCUGCUCCUUGUGUACAGACACGGGUCACUCUGUCCCUUCUCUACCAGGGACACUGUAAGCCGGGUAAGGGGCGAGGCAGAUGGAGGAGGGAAAGAAGCAAAGUCAGGCGGGAGA
rnacentral:lncRNA from 1 species